CCGAACCAGUACACGUUGAAAAGUGUUUGGAUGACCUGUGGGUAGGGGUGAAAGGCCAAUCAAACUCGGAAAUAGCUCGUACUCCCCGAAAUGCAUUUAGGUGCAGCGUUGAGACGAGUGUCAUAGAGGUAGAGCUACUGAUAGGGCUAGGGGGCUUCACCGCCUACCAAACCCUGACAAACUCCGAAUGCUAUGACAUAUUCUCAGCAGUGAGGGCAUGGGUGCUAAGGUCCAUGUCCGAGAGGGAAAGAACCCAGACCAUCAGCUAAGGUCCCUAAAUAUAUGCUAAGUUGAUCUAACGUUGUGUGAUUACUUUGACAGCUAGGAUGUUGGCUUGGAAGCAGCCAUUCAUUUAAAGAGUGCGUAACAGCUCACUAGUCGAGCGGCAUGGCAUGGAUAAUAAUCGGGCAUUAAGUACAUUACCGAAGCUAUGGGUAGAAAUACGGUAGGGGAGCAUUCCAAGGGUGUUGAAGGUGAGCUGCGAGGCUUGCUGGAACGCUUGGAAAAGCAAAUGUAG
rnacentral:rRNA from 1 species